rnacentral:rRNA from 1 species
AGCGAACGCUGGCGGCAUGCUUAACACAUGCAAGUCGCACGGGCACUUCGGUGUCAGUGGCGGACGGGUGAGUAACGCGUAGGUAUCUAUCCUUGGGUGGGGGACAACUGUGGGAAACUACAGCUAAUACCGCAUGAUAACUGAGGUUUAAAGGCGCAAGUCGCCUGAGGAGGAGCCUGCGUACGAUUAGCUAGUUGGUGGGGUAAAGGCCUACCAAGGCGACGAUCGUUAGCUGGUCUGAGAGGAUGAUCAGCCACAUUGGGACUGAGACACGGCCCAAACUCCUACGGGAGGCAGCA